UGAUGAUGAUGAUGAUGAUGAUGAUGACGACGACGAUGAUGAUGUUGAUGAUGAUGAAUAUUAUGAUCAUUGUCAUUAUCAUCAUCAUGGCAGCAAUA
rnacentral:pre_miRNA from 1 species